GAAGUUGUGGGAGAAUGGUAAUCCGGGCACUUGAGCUUAUAGCUCGACCUUGUCGAACUGCUGCCUAAUCUCAGUUCGAAUCUGAGCGACUUCC